CCUUCGAACCAGCCACCACAACUCUCGUCGGAUACCCGUCGCCCCUAGACGUUGUUGUUUUCCCUCCAUCCAGUGCCGCCAGUGUCCGUCAUCUUUCACCCAGCCAGACAGUUCAGUUUGCGGGUCGCUGCAGCUCCGGAGUUGGCAGACGAACCGAAGAUGGCAUCAUCUUCCCUCCGGCCCAGCCAACCAAGGGCGCGUUUUGAGUAUCGAUUCCUCCCACCCGCUUCCUUCCCUGUGCCGGACCCUUGCGGUUGCCGCCGGAGCAUCGCCGAAGUGUCGCUGGAGUGUCCCCGGACCCUUUCAAGUGGUAGCAAAGACAAAUAAGUGAGGACUUCACGCAAAUGUUUUGCAACACCAGGUCAACUAUGUUGCAGGUACAACACUUGCACACUCCAAGCCAACCAAACUUUAUGAUUGUGGAGUUAUUGUUUUGAGAUUUAUGGAGUUGUGGGAUGUCGCUGAGGAAUACGAAAGCAACACAAUGCCCGCCUACAGAAAUGUAAGGAGGAACUGCAACAGGUUAGGGAGAAAUAUGUUUGUGAUUGGAUCUUGGAUGUGGACAAUGUGCGGAGGGAUGAAGUGUUGCAAGAUUUAGGCCUUAUGUAGAUAUUGUUGAAUAGGGAUUUUUGCAAUGUGAUUGAUGUUUUGUUUACAACCUUUUGAAUAUGUAUUGAUGAAGUCUGAAUGUACAUAUUUUUU